UAAUACGGAGGUGGCAAGCGUUACUCGGAAUUAUUGGGUGUAAAGGGCAAGUAGGCGGUCUAAUAAGUGGGUGGUGAAAUACUCCGGCUCAAUCGGAGAACUGCCUUCCAAACUGUUAGACUUGAGUGUGACAGAGGAAAAUGGAAUUCUCGGUGUAAGGGUGAAAUCUGUAGAUAUCGAGAAGAACACCAGCGGCGAAGGCGAUUUUCUGGGUCACUACUGACGCUAAAUUGCGAAAGCUAGGGGAGCAAACAGAAUUAGAUACUCUGGUAGUCCUAGCCGUAAACGAUGAGCACUAGGUGUUGGCUCCUUUAGGAGUCGGUGCCGCAGCUAACGCAUUAAGUGCUCCACCUGGGGACUACGGUCGCAAGGCUA
rnacentral:rRNA from 1 species